CUACGGAGGGUGCAAGCGUUACUCGGAAUCACUGGGCGUAAAGCGCGCGCAGGCGGCUUGAUAAGUUGGAUGUGAAAGCCUACGGCUCAACCGUAGAACUGCAUCCAAAACUGUCAGGCUAGAGUGUGGGAGAGGAAGAUGGAAUUAGUUGUGUAGGGGUAAAAUCCGUAGAGAUAACUAGGAAUACCAAAAGCGAAGGCAAUCUUCUGGAACACUACUGACGCUGAGGCGCGAAGGCGUGGGGAGCAAACAGGAUUAGAAACCCGAGUAGUCC
rnacentral:rRNA from 1 species